UACGAAGGGGGCUAGCGUUGUUCGGAAUCACUGGGCGUAAAGGGCGCGUAGGCGGCUUUAUAAGUCGGGGGUGAAAGCCUGUGGCUCAACCACAGAAUUGCCUUCGAUACUGUAGAGCUUGAGACCGGAAGAGGUAAGUGGAACUGCGAGUGUAGAGGUGAAAUUCGUAGAUAUUCGCAAGAACACCAGUGGCGAAGGCGGCUUACUGGUCCGGUUCUUGACGCUGAGGCGCGAAAGCUGGGGGGAGCAAACGGG
rnacentral:rRNA from 1 species